rnacentral:rRNA from 1 species
GAUGAACGCUAGCGGCAGGCCUAAUACAUGCAAGUCGAACGAUACCAAGGGGCUUGCUCCUUGGAAAAGUGGCGCACGGGCGCGUAACGCGUAUGCAACCUACCUUUAUCAGGGGGAUAGCCCGGAGAAAUCCGGAUUAAUACCGCAUAAAAUCACAGGAUGGCAUUAUCCAAUGAUCAAACAUUUAUGGGAUAAAGAUGGGCAUGCGUGUCAUUAGCUAGUUGGCGGGGUAACGGCCCACCAAGGCGACGAUGACUAGGGGAUCUGAGAGGAUGGCCCCCCACACUGGUACUGAGACACGGACCAGACUCCUACGGGAGGCAGCAGUAAGGAAUAUUGGUCAAUGGGCGGAAGCCUGAACCAGCCAUGCCGCGUGCAGGAAGACUGCCCUAUGGGUUGUAAACUGCUUUUAUCCGGGAAUAAACCUACUUACGUGUAAGUAGCUGAAUGUACCGGAAGAAUAAGGAUCGGCUAACUCCGUGCCAGCCGCCGCGGUAA